rnacentral:rRNA from 1 species
AGUGAACGCUGGCGGCGUGCUUAACACAUGCAAGUCGAACGAGAACGGAAUAUAGCUCGCUAUAUUUGUCAGCUAAGUGGCGCACGGGUGAGUAAUGUAUAGAUAACCUGCCCUUAAGAAAGGAAUAACAGUUGGAAACGACUGCUAAUGCCCUAUAUGCCUUUAAUACAUAAUUAUGCAAGGGAAACGCUUUAGUGCUUAAGGAUGGGUCUGUAUGGUAUCAGCUUGUUGGUGAGGUAACGGCGCACGAAGGCUAUGACGCCUAACUGGUUUGAGAAGAUGAUCAGUCACACUGGAACUGAGACACGGUCAAGACUCCUACGGGAGGCAGCAGUGGGGAAUAUUGCACAAUGGACGAAAGUCUGAUGCAGCAACGCCGCGUGGAGGAUGACACAUUUCGGUGCGUAAACUCCCUUUAUAUAGGAAGAUAAUGACGGUACUAUAUGAAUAAGCACCGGCUAACUCCGUGCCAGCCGCCGCUGUAAUAC